rnacentral:misc_RNA from 1 species
GAGAGUUGAAAGUUCCUGUUGUGCCUCAAAGAUAGAUACGAACAGAAAAUGAAAGGAAGGUAGCACAACCAGUCAUAGGACAUUUCGGACCGGAUGCAAGCGUGCGUGACAAUUCAAAAUUAAAAGCAAGUGAAUAGGCCGACGGCAGCUAGUCAGAUAAUUGCAUUGCGAAAAGUGAGUCCGAAACGGGAGGCUCAGUAUGUUCUUUCGACGUAUUUUGGAACGCAAAGAUGGCACUAACAGUGUGCCGCUCCCUAUAGCGACCACGGCAACGUCAGCGGCCAAUAGCACUCGCACUCCGAUGAAUGACUACAACUGCGAGGCCAGCGAGAGUGUCACAUACGUGAGUGGUACAACGGGAAGCGAAGUCAAGGACAAGAAUAACAACCAGUCAGCCAGCGUGGGGGCUGGGCUCCUCCCACUAACGAAAAUGCAACGACGAACAGAGGCUCCGAUAGGUGCAGUGCAACUGACACCACUGUGGGAGCAUAUUCUUCGCACUCGCCGCCUGCCGGAAACAAUUUGCCCCAACGCCAUGUAUGCAGAGUUCCACGAACGCUUACAGGAUCCAGAGUGGCAGGUGCGCCAACACGCUCUGCGAGUUCUCGUCGACGUCCUUGUGGUGAUGCAAGACAGGGCCGACAAUCACAUAGAGGAACACCAGCUGAUCGGCCUGCUGGUCGAGAACUUGGGUCACCAGGCGCCCACCGUUCGUAAGGGGGCCCUCGACUGCCUACGAGUCUAUCUUGCUGAAACAGCUAUUCCAGAAUCGGUCGUACUAAAGAUUCUCGACACUGGCUUAACUCCCAUGGAGUCUGACCACGGCCGACUUAGCUGCGGAGUCCUGCUUUCACUCCCCGCAAUACUUCAAUCGAUUUUGCACACCCCCCAACGGCACUUCAUAGUGCAGCAAGCUUUGCAGCGUGUGGUGGAGCACUUGGACCAACUGGCUCAGCAGGAGAUUACGCUGAAGGUUUUGUCCAAAAUGAGAGAGAUUUUAGGAGUCCAUGAAUUUGAAGCUAUUAUGAACGCGGUGUGCGGCCACACCGCCCUGUCCAAGUAUUAUCAGCUGUGUCAGGUAUAUGGAGUUUGUGAAAAGCCAAAUCGCGCAGGAGAAGUCAAAACGGGAGCGUGGCGAGCUCUGCCGAGGGAACAGAGCUGGAGGAGCAGUAGCACCUCUAUCCAUCCGUUGGACUCUUCGCUACAGCUGCAGCAACCAAGCUGUUCUGAUAAAGGAAAGGUCAUUAUGGAGACGGAAAUCAAAAUCAAUGACGACACUGUGACCAUGCGCUUGCUGGAGGCGGAUACCGAGACAGAAGAGUACGACAGUCCAGCACGAGUAUACUCCAAAGAUAUUGAACCAACAGAGCUUGCUUGCCGAGCACUGAUGGGUAGUGCGAGGUCCCAUCAGGAUCUGAGAGAAGGGGCAGGAAUAGUCCAAGUUAUCAGCGAUUCUGAAUUGGACGAGCAUCCUACUGCCGGAUCUGAAACCAAGUCCGAGCCCAGCACGCCCUCUCGUGGGCUAAAGCGAGUGACCUUUGGUGGAGAGAUAGUGAAAAUGCGUACUCCCGACAGCGACGCGGCUAUUUCCUCAAACAAUUCCAAACGAACAGGUCAGCCCAUUCACGGCCCCGCUAUAAUAACGCUAGAUGACUCCUCGGGGUCUCCUCGGCAUUUUCCGAUAGAGGGUGAACCUGUCGUUAGCAUUCCAAGUGCACUCGGCGAUAGCAAGACAUCGGCACUGGUCGUGGAAAUACCUUAUGAUAAUACCAAACCCCUGCCUCUCCCAUUUAGCUCUCAGUCUGUCCGUCCACAGAGCAACGUGCAAGCCGAUCAGUCAACGGCAAGUCCAAGCUCGUAUAGCUCUCCCAAACAUCAGACGGAAGAAUCGAAAUUGACUCCGCCGCCGCAAUCACCUCUUUCCCGUAGUCGCAGCACGAGUCCAGCUGGAAGCAACAAUAUUAGUCCCAAAGUUCCGCACAAACAGAUCGAAGUGCUUCACAAUCUUCAACGAGAUCCCUCACCGCGAUCUAUGCGCCGCAUCGAGGACAUGACGGAGUCCGUUGCGGUAUCGCCAUCUCCAUCCCCGACUCAAUCCUUAAGAGCACGAACCAGCUCCAUAAUGUCGGCGGAGUCACCAGUCACACCGAAAUCGUGGGAGGACCUGGACAUUGUCAACUACAAAACUCUGAUGGACCUCCGAUCUGGGGACUGGCGACAUCGCUUGCAGGGAUUUUCCCAUCUAGAGCUCGCCCUAAGCUCUUCGGGUAAUUUAGCUCAGGUGCAGCCGUACUUGGACAGCUUGCUGCGAACAUUACUCUCCUCGGAGCGACACUUUGACAUAGCUGAACUCAAACGUGAAUUGCUGGUAAACCUGAUCACACGCCUUCCGCUGGACAACUUGGAGGAGCGCACCCUUCAGAUUCUAACAGGGCUGUGUCGCCAAGGCACUGCUGGGGCGAAUCGAGUCUGCAAGGCACUAAUGCAGCGCCUGCCAGCGGGCACCAUUGUUGCCAAACUUACUGCACCGGAGUUCAUGCAUGCCAAGAGCUCAAAGUUCCGCGAUCAUGCCCUCCAAAUGUCUAUUUUCGCUUUGAUGACCUUUCCUGGCACAUGCUUCGACAUCAACCUGCUGACGGCGCAGACAAUAUACUCCUCGUUAAAUCGCAAGCGACGCGUGCGCCAGGCGGCACUGGAGGUACUUGCCGUCUUGGCUGACAUAUCAUCUGUCAAGCAGGUUCUGGCGAUUGUAUCCGAAAUAGCAUCAGGCGUGGAGCUCGGUCCCCUCAUGCUCGAUGCUACGAGAAUGCGUCUGUCCCGCCUGCAGUUGCCCAUUAUAACGCCGGACAGUUCCGUCUUGUUUAUUUUCAACCAAACUGAAAAGCCCGGCAAUAGGAACGGUGCAGAUAUUGACUGGAUAAACCAAGGCGACGGCUCAGCCUCACCAAAUGCCAUCAAAAGGCGACGCAUGCGUGCUGCGGGCAGACAGAGGGUCGUCCAGGAAAGCACAGAAGCAAAAGACAGGACAGAGACACUCCACAGCUUUACUCACGUCAAUGAGAGCCUGCAUCGACAUUCCUUCCACUCUCCUCCAGAAACCCUGGACAUAGCUAGCCCCAAUGACUUUUCUCAGAGAUUAAGUUUCGGAGCUAGGACAAUGCAUGGAAAUCUUAUGGACCGUCGCAUGGUGGGCAAAACGUGCUCAGAUACUUCGAUGGAUGGCCGAAGCACUGACAGCACGGCAACCACUUGCAGCAGUGGGAGCACUGGCAGCUUUAUACAGCUAACAUCCCGCACUGGGAGUCAUCUUUCAGGACCCAGCUCAAGAUUUCCCGCCAUGAACCAACAUACGGAUUUUGUGAACAAUUUUAUGCGCAGCAUGCAGAGGUCUACCACGUCCUACACAUUGGAUGGUCAAGCAUACCCAAAAGUCAGCUAUACGAAUCCUACUAAAUCGCACCAGAGCCAGAUGCUGCGCAAGAAGCUGCAGCACCAGCACUCCUUCACGCUUUCGCAGCAAAGCAGUAGGACACGAAACACCGGCCAAGCACAAGAUGGAGAAAUGCUCAAAACUAACGAAAUACACAGGAAACAGCAGCGCAGCUUUUCCAUUGAUAACCUACAAUCACCACAUACGUUGGGAAGAGAGUGCGCCGGCGCCGCAAAACCAGAAAUGCAUUUUCCUGUGGCGGACAGGCGUCCAAUCUACUACGUCGGACACGCACUCUUCUCCGCUCUGGCUGGGCGUAUAUUUGCCAAAAGGCAAUUGACGCGCAUUCAACACUGUGCGAGGCUAUAUCUUACAAUCGGAACAAUCAGCUUUCCGGCACCUGCUGCACCAACACGGCGCCAAUGGAUAGCAAAUGUCAAGAGUUCAGAAAAUCGAUGCAAAUUGAUACAGAUAGUGAACAUGUCGAUGAUAAGUCGACCUGGGAAGUGAUUCAGACACCGGUAGAUGGUGAAAAAGACAAUGUGUAUGCUGUGCUCCCGUCUGAAGAGUUCGUUCGCAUUGGAGCAGAUCCGGAAACAGUUCGGUCAUCGACCUUAGGAUCGCAGACGGACAAAGGAACUACGGACGGGUCCCCGC